rnacentral:lncRNA from 1 species
AACAAUCCUCCUUCAACUGAAAAGAAUAAAACUGGUAUGAUUGCGGGGAUCAUCGUUGGAGUGGCAGUUGUAGGCUUCAUAUGUAUUCUUGCAGUUUUCUGCAUUAUUCAAAGAAGGAAAAAGUCACGUGCUAAUGAUGAUGACGGUAAGCAAAGAAUCUUGCCGCGAGCAUGCAUUUUCAAAAGCCAAAUAUGUGGAGGGUAUUUUUAUCAGGACACGGCAUUUAAAUUUUUUUUUAUGUUCUUAGAGAAAAAAUUUCCAAUUAGAAAAUUGAUCCAUUUUUGGAUAAAAGUAUUGGAGGCAUUGUGUAUCCUCCAAAUUUUUCCUUCCAUCAUUUUCUAAUGUUUUAUUUUAUGAAAUGUCAAUAAAAGCAUUUCUUUUCAUGAGAAAUCACUGUUCUGGUAUAUCAUUUAAAAAAAAAGUUUCCUUGUUUUAGAACAGUAGUAUCAGAACCAUUUCAUGGAGUUUCUCCUCCAAUUAGGUCAAUGGUUAAUUAUGAAUAUGUAUUCUCAGAGGAUAAAAUACAUAAACAAUUGGAUCAAUUUCACUUCAAUAACGUGCAUUUGGUUUGUACUUGCAGAGCUCCUAGGUAUAGAUGCCAGGCCAUACACAUUUAGUUAUGCUGAACUGAGAACUGCUACAGAAGAUUUUAGUCCUGCUAAUAAGGUUGGAGAGGGGGGUUUUGGACCUGUUUUCAAGGUAAGUACCUAUUCUGAAGAAUGACAAACAUGGUGGAGCACACAUCAGUUCAUUCAAGUUUAUUAUCAGAUAUCAAAAAAUUAACAUUCAAUGUUAGCAUGUGAUCCUUCUAAAUUGGUCGUCAAACUCUCAAUUUUUCUUGUACAUCAGAUAUGCAAAGAUUGUUAUAUAGAUAUAAUAUCAUUUAGCAUAGUUUUAAAUUAGCACUCAACAGGGAAAACUUAAUGACGGGAGAGUGAUAGCAGUAAAGCAACUAUCUGUUGCUUCCCACCAAGGCAAGACCCAGUUUAUCACUGAAAUAGCAACAAUAUCUGCUGUGCAACAUCGGAACCUUGUGAAACUAUACGGAUGCUGCAUUGAGGGAGAUAACAGACUCCUUGUUUAUGAAUUUCUGCCAAAUAAGAGUCUGGAUCAAGCACUAUUUGGUAGGGGCACAGAGUUCUCUGUUAUUUCUACUCUAAAUGGAUAGCACCAUGAAGACUUACACAUCACUGGCUUGAAUGUGGCAGGGAAUAAGAACUUAAAUCUCGAUUGGUCAACACGCUUUGAGAUAUGCUUGGGAGUAGCAAGAGGACUUGCUUAUCUUCAUGAGGAGUCAAGGCUUCGAAUUGUACACAGAGAUGUUAAGUCAAGUAACAUUCUGCUUGACUCCGAACUUAUUCCUAAAAUUUCGGAUUUUGGCUUAGCCAAGCUUUAUGAUGAUAAGAAGACCCACAUAAGCACCCGUGUUGCAGGGACAAUGUAAGAUGAUAGACAUUCCAUUUAUCUCGGUAUUUUCCAUUAUUAUUUCUAUGUAAUACAUGUUUUUUCUUUGUCAUGGUGAUGUAGUGGAUAUCUUGCGCCUGAAUAUGCCAUGCGAGGACAUCUUACGGAGAAAGUUGAUGUUUUUGGGUUUGGGGUUGUGGCUCUUGAGAUUGUAAGUGGGAGACCAAAUUCUGAUUCAAGUUUGGAUGGGAAGAGGAUGUACCUUCUUGAAUGGGUAUGAAAUUCUAUUUUAUGCCUUUUUCCAUAGUUGCACCAUUUUUGUAUUGCCUGUUUCAGGAGCUUCUUACGAUCUUCAAACCGUAAAAAUGUUUAAUUCAGUCAAAGGUUUAGUGAACAAUUAUGCACGGUUAACUAAAUUUUCUGAAUUUCAAACAAAAACAAAUAUACUUAAUUAUGCAACUAUAGUUGUCCGCAGGGGGGCCCUUAUCCAUAACUUGAUCCGAUCUGGCUUUAUUUGCUUCUGCUUUGUAACGUAAUAAAGUGGCUUGCUUUACUAUUCUUCUUCCUUUAAAGUUCUGAUACAUGGAUUAUUACCUGCAAUUUCUUAGGCCUGGAACCUGCAUGAAAACAACCAGGACCUUGAACUGGUGGACUCCAGCUUGACAAAAAUUAAUGAGGAAGAAGUGAAGCGAGUGAUAGGAGUUGCUCUUCUGUGCACUCAGACAUCGCCUGCGCUACGGCCACCAAUGUCCCGUGUGGUGGCUAUGCUUUCAGGAGAUAUCGAAGUAACAGGAGUAAUCUCAAGGCCUGGAUACUUGACUGACUGGAAAUUUGAUGAUACAACCAGCUUUAUGAGUGAUUAUAAGGAAGCUGAUAACAGCUAUUGCAACUCAUCGAUAAGUACAAGCAUGAUUUUCAACUCUCCUUUAAAUGAUCAUAAACCCAUGCUUUCUGAAAGCAUCGGAGAGGGUAGGUGAAAUCUUUUUCUUUGAUUGGAGAACACGUAUGUAAUUAGGGGCUGUUAAUUGAGACACAGAUGAUUUUAACCUAUGUUUUCCUUUCUUUCUGUUCUUUCCUGAAAACAAGUUUUGAUUUUCAAGCUUUUCCCUCCUCGUACAAGUUUAUGUAGCUGAGGGAAUUUUAUGAAUCUUUUUCACCUUUCAACUUAUUAGAAUUAUGAGUUUUGUCUACCAUCAAUCUUCUUUCUUUAUGUCUCUGUGAGCUCAUUUUUGCCCCUCCUAUCCAAUGUUUAUCUGCAAUUUCAAUUAUCUUUUAAUUUUUUUUAAAAAAAAAAGUUACUGCAAGUAAUAAAUUCUCUUUUCUGACUACAGAGGUGAUAUUUUUAUGCUUUUUUUCAUGAAAAGAUGGGUUGCAUAUAAAAUCGUCAACAAACAGGGGGAGACCAACAGAGAGACUUUAGUAAAUGAGGAUGGUAUGGUUCCAGGAAAAGAGAAGAGAAGCUUUUUAAUUCACCAAAAUUACUAAACUCUUAACACCAUGACCAAGAAACCGAAGACCUAACAAAUUAGUAGGUUACCACCAUAUCUCAAAAUUAAUGUUUAACCAUCAAUACAAUAAAGUAGGCAGCAAGAGUUAUUAAGAACAAGGACUCCCCACCACAUUAGCCGUAUCACCUAAUUCAGAACAUCAACCACACAUGUAACAUCCUAUAAGACACAUACUGGUUUCUAUUAUAUGUAUUUUUAGACCUUCACAAGCCCUCUUCUUCACCUGGCAUCCCAGUUUCAGCGUGCUUCAUACUGAAUAACUGUAGAAAUGAAAAAAGUCUUCUAGUCAACGUAACAAUACAAGCUUAGAUGAUUACACGAUGCAAACACUUUAACAGGUAAUGUUCACGCAAAAUUAUUAACAUUUUAUCAUGAAAUGAACAAAAAUUGCUGUUGGCUAUCAAUAUAGAAAUUAUUAACAAAAAUUUCUAUGUUAGUCCAUUAAUAUUUAAUUGAAAUGUUAUCCAUAACAAGCCUAUCGGAAAUGAAGUUCUAUAGAACUGAACUCGAGUAAUUACAACAAAAUUUAAACUAGAAUAGUCAUUGGCCAUAUAUUUACAUGGUUGAAUUAGGCAAAGAUCACACUGCUCAUCUCCUAGCAGGCUGAGACAACCAUGGAGUAGUUGUCAGUUGUCUUUACUUCAUCAUGCAAAUCAAUCCAGGCAGGCAAACUACAAUAUAUUUUACAUCAAUUAGAUGCAUCCAAUGUAGUUCCUAUUUUUCCUCUUUUUUCUUUGAUUUUAUUUUCAUUGACUAUUCCCAUAGUUCAUACACUCGGAUCUAUAAAGUAAUAUUUUUGAUCUUCUUCUCUUUGAAAGGCGGCUACAAUUUCUCUCUCUUCUGAAAAACAUUUCUCACUGUUAUCUUUGAGAAUUAUUGCAACUUAGGAUGCCGACGUAGAUGCUAUAGUCGCCAUUUUCUGGUACGUUGUCUGUGUGCGGCCCGCCAAGCAAAGACAAUGUUUUCGUGGUUUGGCUAUGGUCAUCGGUCUUCGAGAAUUUGUUGCAGUCGAGAGGAAGACUUUCGAUGUGGUAUCUGAAGGCAAAGGUACUAGGGGUUUUUGAGAAUAGGAGGGGGUUUCGGAAAUCUAUUUUCUAUCAGGAGGAGGACAUUGAGUGGUUAUUGCAGUGCUUUAGGGAGUUCAGAUGGUGAAAGAAGAUGGUGCUUGGGGAAGGAGCCGAAGGAAUAGUUGGAGAACUCUCAUGAUGAUGCUUAGCAGUAAUAGAAAUGGCAAGUUUCUGAUUCUCACAUAAAGGAAAGUGGAUGCUAGGGGGGAUGGGAAUAGGGUAUUUAUCCCUGAAGGGGAUAAGGCGGAAGGUUGGUGACAGAUGAUGGAUGCUCCUCAUGAGGUGGCUGGAGUGGCAUUGGUUCCGCUUGAGUGGGUUACAAAGAAAAAUUUGGCUCCGAAGAGGGAUGUGGUUAUAGCAAUAGAGCUGCUGGUCAAUGUGUUCAGAUGCCCAGAUUGUAUGAACGUGUUUGAGGCGAAAAUGGUGAAGCAACGGGGUGCAUCAUUUACUGAUGUCCUGUCCCAGUCUGAGAAGGGGGAGAAUCAGGCAAGGAAGGAGGGGAGUUCGGAUCUUACUGGAGCGGGUCGGGGCAAUUUGAAAUUUGAAAACAAAAGUGGGAGUGAUCACGUGAGGGAGGUUUGGGGGGAUGUUCCAGUUGGGUUCAUGAGAAAUAGGCCUAAGCCGGGUAACGCUUUUGGGCUGAAUGGGAAGAGGAGGCUCUCAUGGGCUGAAAAGGGUAAAUGGGUGACCACGCCAGCCCUAGCAAAAAAGCAGGGCAGAAACGGGUUCAGUUUUGGAGACCAAAAAAAACCGAAUCUCCAAAAGUUAAAACCCGGUUCAUGAAAAUGUGCCCCAUUCCCACAGUUGAGAAAGAGUCGACGGAAUCUAGGGGCUCAGGAGGAAUCUAAACUCAUCGAUGAAGGAGAAAUGAAGUUGAUGACGGCAGAGGUCAGUGUGGUGGAGAACAAAGCCAGGAAUGAAUCAAAUUGUUUGAAUGAAGAAUUAACUGAGAGGAACGGAUUGGAAGUAAGUGGGAGGGGAACAGAUUGGAAGUAAGUAGGAGGGAAAUAGAGGUUUCGGGGGACAUGGCGAGUAGGGAGAAGGAAAAGAAUUUGUGCGAUAUAGUGAUUAUGGAUGAGCCUUCCGAAGAGGUCUUGAACGUGACUCCAAUUCAAUGUGAUAUACUCUUUGAAUCCAGUGAUUGAAUCUGCUAGACAGAGGAGGGAUGCAUGCAACAUAUGUACCCUGAACGGGUUCAAAGGAACUUCCAAAAGGUCAGUAAAUUAUUUGAAGUUUCUUCUCUUGGUGUGGAUGAGAGAGUUCUUAGUUUGAUUGAGGAGAUUGAAAUGAAGCAUGUUGAGAAAUGAAAGUGUAAGACUUCGGUGAGAAAAGUAAAAAAAAAGCAGGGGGAGGGGGAAAGCAUAGAACUAAGAAGACUACAAUGCUCAGUUAAUUAUGAAGGAAAAAAGAGUGGUGGGAAGGGGGAGAGGAUUCUGUCUAGAGAUGUCAUUCCAUGAUCGGAAAAAUUAUAUCAUGGAAUGUGAGGGAACUGAAUGAUAAGAAGAAAAGGGGAGUGAUUAAAGGGUGCAUUGGAAGACGGAAACUUGAUGUUGUGUGUCUUCAAGAAACUAAAAUGGAGGAGAUUAACCAGGUUAUUAUCAGUGAUCUUCGGCAGAAUAGAAAGGUGAAGUGGGAGUUUCUUCAAGCGGUAAGUGUGGCUGGAGGGGUGGUUGUUAUGUAGGAUGGGGAUAAAUAUAAUUGUAAGGAGAUAGAAGUGGGUAGAGUUUCUU